CAGUCGUACCGGCGGGUAAUCAGCCUUUUCGGGUAUGAUUCUGUGGAGUGUGGGGGAGCUAAACACCCUCAUGCCUGCAUAUUCGUGCUCUUGGGUGUACUUGCUCGUGUGGUUGGUUAACAUCAAUUUCGGAUGCCAUAAAAUGACUGGAGGACUGCAGCACGUCC
rnacentral:rRNA from 1 species